CUUUCCUCUCAUCCCUACAAUUUGGCAUAGCUAGUGUUAGGUCCAUCUCCAUAUUCUUUGGUCCUCAGUUCCCAGUGUCAAGACUGAGUACUGCUACCGAGGUUGGCCAAUGACGGAGUGAUCACAAAUACAAAGCAAUUCCACACAGUUUAUUACAGAAAAGAAACUAUACAAAGUGAAAGUAAACAAAAGAAAAAAGGAAGCUACCCAAAGUGCAAAUACAUUCUAGAGAGGAACAGGUCAGUCUCCACGAGUGGAGAAAGAUGGCGAAGACUCCCAGGUGGUUUUCUCUUAUUGGCCAGGUCAGGGGGCGGGCUUACAGGAGGUGUGGGCUUUUACCAAAUGAUUAUCGGGUGUUCUGCAUGUUCCCGCAGUCCCUCCCCGCGAUUGGUUCCCGGCUGCCCCACCCCUAGGAACCACCCUCCUGGCCUACACCGACCGCGGGCAGAUCGGAUCCCUGCCUGACAACAGCGGCGCUCGAAGCCACUCUGCUCUCCUGAAAGCCUCAGUGAGAAAACGUGGAACCCUGACCAGCCGGCAAAUUGGAAAGAUAUCUUACUUGCCAGUAAGAGUCCCAGUUUUUCUCUCCGUGGGCUCCGGUUGAACAGACAGUAGAAGAUUAUUGUACUUUCCAAGUGUAAGAUUAACGAGAUAAAAAGUUUUGGAUAAGGAAAAAUCAUUGCCUAAGGUGAUCAUGGAGAUCUGAGAGCCAAAGCCAAGACUCAAGCAGGUUAGGCACAGACCUGGCAUCCUUAUACAACAGUCUUUCAAACCCUGGCUACACUGACUAGUCAGUCUAAUGCUGGUUAUGCCAACAUCUAGACUGUACAAAGGACGCUGAACUCAUUUUUGUUUCUGCCAAUGUGAGUGCCUAGUGGAACCAGUCCAGAAGGUGGAUGUAUGACAAGAUGUGGCAUCCAUAACCAGAGAAGAAACAUCAUGCUGCUUCUCCUGUUGGUGAGUCAACUGAACAGAGAAAAAUCUCUGUGGAAGCUCAAAAAAACUGUCUUUUGCUCAGGUAAAGUCUCUGGAAAGAAAAUUGUCCUCUGCAUUGAAAACAGGGAUGUUGCUGGAUCUUUUCUGGGUGACAUACUAGGGCAAUAUUGUGAUCAGACUCUACAGUUUGAUUCUACAGAUGGCGCAGACAGCAUUCUUGCACCUCUUAGAUGGCGCUGACACUUACUCACAUGAUGUCAACGAUUGUCAAAUCACCAGAUGUUAUGAAUGCCCCACAAGCUAGAGCUGUGCAACUUGGGGUAGUUCACUCAUUCCGUUUGUUUAGAUACCAGACACUGUAUGUGGACAGAGCAAAAGUCUGGACUGACUUUGUUAGUACUGACAAAACCAAACCCUAUAACUGCCAGAACUAAACCAAAAGCUUUUAAUAUCAAAUAUUUUAUAACCUGUUCUGUUCCCAUGGACUGGCAGGAACACAUGGAUACUGGAGAUAUGAAAGUGCCAGUGAGGAAGAAGAAGCACAGCAAACUCCAGACUGGGAGGUCACAGGUUCCAACCUGACUCUAUCUGUACAUUACGAUGGUCUUUUUAUUGUGUGUGGCAAUAAAGUAUACAAGUGGUUCCCACCUAGAUGGUCAGAAUGCUAUGGACUUGAUUAUCUGACACCCUCUGUUACCAGGUACUCCACUUUAAAAUGCCAGUUAAAUUACAAACGUGGGCUCUUUAAUAAAGUGGUACCAAGCAAAUGUACUAGAUGUGAUAUUAUAAAAAACCCAGUUGUAUAUCUUGUAUAUCAUAAUUCUAAGUUCUUUUUUGUGCUCAUGCCUCUUUGCCCAACAUUUGGAACUCAUCAGAUUGAAAAGACAGUUUUGAAUCUCUCCACAGUAGUAGAACAAGAGUUCAGUACCACCAUGCAAACAUUGGGAACACUUCAGUUAGAAGUCAAUAGCCUAACCUCUGUUAUAUUUGAAAACUGCUGCCUCCUGGAUACCUUCACAGCCCAACAGGGAGGAGCUUGCAUGAUUAUGGGUGGAAAAAAAAAUACUCUUUCUGCAUAAAACCACAUGGGGCAAGUAGAGACUGUGAUCUGUACUUCCUAAAAGACAAGAUAAAUAUUCUUCAAAUUAAUGAAGAUCAGUUCCCAAGAAUGGGAGACUGGUUUAGUGGGGCAUCAGAAAAUGUGGUUAGAUCUAUUCUUUUCUACUUAUUUAUUCCCAUUUUAAUUUAUGUUCUUGUCUCUCUUUUCAGAUCUCUUGUUACUAGACUAAUAAUCAAAUCUCUCUUGCCACAGCUACUGACUGGCUUUUAAUGUGUGAAACUUCUAGGGAAGUUCCAGAUGGGAAUGAAGGACCUGUGGAAAUUUCACCUCAAAAUAUGACUCCUUGCUAUAAAGACCAUUUUGAAUUAAAGGCUCUUAGAGAUUAACAGGCCCUUGGAAGAGG